GACACUGUAUGUAUUUUCCAAACAAAAUCCCAUGAUCUAAACUCUACUAUAAAUCAUAAACAUCAUGUUUAUUAUUUUUAGAAUAAUACCCAUUUUUAUUCCCUGUUUUAUUUAUAUUUAUAUCAAACCAAACAAACAAACACUAAGCUUAAAAAUCUCAGCCACAAACUAUUCCUUUUCCCAGAAUGUUUCAGAAGACAAAAGAUCAGUCCUAAGAGUUCUAAUUUUACCCAUUGAGUACUUGAGUGCAUAUCUACCACCUCCCUAAACCAUCAAAGCUUCAACCAUCUCUCUUUACACGAUUUUCUCUCUCUAAACACAAACUAUCACCACCAUCGUCCGACAGUCUUCAACACGCCUAAACCAUCUAAACUCUACUAUAAAUCAUAAACAUCGUCCGCAUGAACACGCCUAAACAGUCUUCAACAGUCUCUAGCUCAUCGGGAUUUAAGCGUUAGUGGUUAGAAAAGGAAUGAACAACCGGGAAUCGGAACUGAAAUGCUUGAAUCCUACUGCGAUUUUCCGGAAUUACGCACAUGCAAAUAGAUCGGCUACCAGCACCAUUUAAGACUCGGUUGCCUUAGCUCGAAAUCACCGACGGGGCUGUCCUCAGAUCUCUCAUUUGCGCUAUUUCGGUUUCAAACCAUCACUUGACACUGUUUCCGGAGAAUGGAAGCGGUGGAUUGCUGUGGACGACGCUCAAUUUGGAGGAAUCACCAAUUUCGCCGGAAGCGACUAUCGGAAUUCUGAUUCAAUCAGAAGGUCCGAGAUAAUUGCCGGCAAUAGUUGGAGGCCGGAAUAUCUAAUCAAACCAUAUUUGAGAUGGAUUUGAGAAAUGAAUGUUUAUUCAGUGUGGAUGAUGGAUUUGAGAAAUGUGGUUUAUUAACACAAUGGAUGGUAACACUUGGCUUGGCUUAUGUAUAGGAGCUUUGAACAGUGACUAAGGAUGAAAAAUGACGCGUGGAUUGUUUCUCGUGGUCAAAUGAUGUA
rnacentral:lncRNA from 1 species